AUGAUAGAUGCUGCCUUGGAUAGAGCUCACCAGCAAUCUGUGCUGAAUACCUCCCAAACCAGACAGAUCACAGGACAAUCGUUGAAGCAAACCACAGGCACCGUGACUGUUACUGAAGGAGAACCUGUCUCUCUCAAUUGCUCCUAUCAAUCAACAGAUACUUUUAAUUACCCAUUCUGGUACAUUCAGCAGCAUGGCCAGGCUCCCAAAUUAAUUUUGCAGACUGGUGGGGAGGCUUACCAAGGCUUCCAAGCUAUUCACAAGACAGGUAACAACAAGAAAGACGGGACUUUCAACAUGCAGAAACAAGGCAUCCAGUUGAAGGACUCUGCCAUCUACUUCUGUGCCUUCAUAGACACA